rnacentral:rRNA from 1 species
UACGUAGGUCGCAAGCGUUGUCCGGAUUUACUGGGCGUAAAGAGCGCGCAGGCGGCUGGUCAAGUCCGAUGUGAAAUCCCUGGGCUCAACCCAGGAACUGCGUCCGAUACUGGUUGGCUUGAAUCCGGGAGAGGGAUGCGGAAUUCCAGGUGUAGCGGUGAAAUGCGUAGAUAUCUGGAGGAACACCGGUGGCGAAGGCGGCAUCCUGGACCAAUAUUGACGCUGAGGAGCGAAAGCUAGGGGAGCAAACGGG